UUGAAAGGGAAACGAUUGAAGUCAGUCAUGCCGGCGGGAAUCAACUUAGGGGAAACUUUAAGUGCACUUCACGUUUGGCAGGUCAGCAUCGAUUUUGGAUGUCGUAAAAUGAUUGGGGGAAGGUAGCCCCUUCGGGAGUGUUAUAGCCCUUGGUAGAUGUGAUGUCUGGGAUCGAGGAUUGCAACGGAUACCCUUUGGGCUAGCCGCCUGAUCUCUAACUAGUGUUGGGUUACGGACAGCAUGCUGACCGUGAUUUAAUUAUUGGUUAAAAGGUUAGAGCGAGUGUAAAUUCGUUAAGGA
rnacentral:rRNA from 1 species